rnacentral:rRNA from 1 species
CCUGGCUUCGCGGCCGGCUGAAGUAUUUUUUUCACCCAUGUCUUUUGCGCACUUGUUGUUUCCUGGGCGGGUUCGCCCGCCACCAGGACCAAACCAUAACCCUUUUUUUUUAUGCAGUUGCAAUCAGCGUCAGUAAAAACAAUGUAAUUAUUACAACUUUCAACAACGGAUCUCUUGGUUCUGGCAUCGAUGAAGAACGCAGCGAAAUGCGAUACGUAGUGUGAAUUGCAGAAUUCAGUGAAUCAUCGAAUCUUUGAACGCACAUUGCGCCCUUUGGUAUUCCAAAGGGCAUGCCUGUUCGAGCGUCAUUUGUACCUUCAAGCUUUGCUUGGUGUUGGGCGUUUUUGUCUCUCUUUCUUGGGAGACUCGCCUUAAAACGAUUGGCAGCCGGCCUACUGGUUUCGGAGCGCAGCACAUAUUUUGCGCUUUGUAUCAGGAGAAAAGGACGGUAAUCCAUCAAGACUCUACAUUUCACUUUUGACCUCGGAUCAGGU